UCUCUCUCCUUCUUCUCUUCUUCUUCCCUUCCGUCGCCUGUGACCGUGGGGUGACCGACGGCGGCUGGCCGAGCGCCGCCGCCGAGGGCCACGGUCGGCCGCCGAGGGCCGACCGGAGCCACCAGCCACUCCCCCCUUCUUCCUUUCUUCUUCUUCUCUCCUUCUUCUUCCUCUUCUCCUUCUUCUUCUUCUUCUUCUUCUUCCGGCUGGGUGCUUUCCUUGCAUCGUUUUCCGUGCCCUAUUGGUGUCUCAAACCACACAAAUGAACUUUGGGUGUUUCUCUUGCAUCAAUUUCCGUGCUCUGUUGGUGUCACAAACCAGACGCAAAUGAACUUUGAUUUGAUUGAACCAUCUUCUGACUGUGGAUUUGGUCUAGACUUGGGUUGGUCUAAUUUGAGUGUAAUCUGGUUUGUUAAGCUUGAUCUAAUCUGGGCUGAUCAGAGCUGGUUUGGUGUGGGCCGGUUUGAUCUAGAUCUGUAAUGUGGUUUGGUUCAAUUGGGCCUAAUAUGUGUUGGGCUGAGUUGAACCUAAUUGGAUCUGUGGGCUGGGUUGGUUUGGGCCGAAAUCUGAUUUGGACCUGAUACCUGGUUUGGUUCAAUUGGGCCUAAUCUGUUUUGGGCCACAAUUGACUUGGGUUUAAAGGGUUCUGAUUUUAGGGUCUAUGUUUGAUCUUAGGGGCCCAUUCUUGGAUCCAUGAACUUAGGAGUUUAAGGGUUUGAAAAAUUGUUUAAAUUAUGUUUCUUAGUUAAUUAAAUAAUUAAUAUUUAUAUUUAACCAGGGGUUCGUGAUAUCUGUGGCAGGAAAUUUUAAGCGAACCCAGGUAGGUGACCGUUGCUUUAAAGUAGAAUUCUAACAUGUAUCUUGCAUAUGUUGAUUUAUUGAUUUAUUAUUAGCAAUAUGUGUUAGAAUUAAAAUCAAAUAUUUAAUUUCAUAAAUUGUUAUGCGCUUUACUGUGGGGAGUAUGAUUAUGAUUUUGAUACAGAAAGUUGAUUUAUUGAUUUUCAAAAUCCGCGUGACUAUAGUCUAGACCCCGCCAAUGGGAUGAUAUGUUGGCCCUGUCGACUUGUACUGAGGAACUAGUUCCGACACCGCGACCACCGGUGAUAGAAUAGUGGCGGCACAGGGGUGCGUUUUGCUCUUCGGAGCGGCUCGGUGGAGCGUGAGUUUGGCAC
rnacentral:lncRNA from 1 species